rnacentral:rRNA from 1 species
CGGUUGGGGGGGAGAGGCGAGACGGGUGGUGGAGGGGGCGAGGUAAUGAGGAGCGGCGAGUGAGGAGCAGCCGCGGGCCAAUCUAGGUCGCCUAUUGGUACAGCCCUUCGAUGAGGAGCGCAGAGGCGCGGCCCCCGCCGCCGCCCCCGGACCCGCGCUGCUGGCACGACCGCCGGUUCCACCGCAAGCGCAGCCGGCGCGACCGGCGCCGGCGGACGUACCACGGCGUCGAGCACAGGCCGCGGCUGCGGAAGGAGACCUUCGAGAUGGAGAAGCAGUGGCACGUGCAGUAGUAGAAGCAGUAGACCUUCGAGAGGCUGUCGUUCGUGAAGGUGCGGCGGGUCGUCGUCGUGUUCCUGGGGACCCGGGGCAGCGGCGAGGUGGUGGGGCGGCGGCGCCGCGGGGGCGAGUACUGCCUCGUCCGACACGACUGGCGGCAGUCCGCGUUCCACCUCAAGCGCGGGCGCGGGCGGCAGCAGAGGCGGCGCGGGCGGCUCCACAUGGCGCACGGGGGCGGGCACAGCGGCACCGUGCUCCGACGGCUGAGCCGCCACCAACUCCUCCAGCACAGGGGACAGAGCACGCCGCCCCUCAGCACGCAGUGGUGCCUCAGACUCCUCCUGCGGAGGAGGCGGCGGCGCAGCCGGAUGUAGCGGUGGCGGCUGCGCUCGUCCUCGCAGAGCGGGCGUGCCCUCGCGCGCCAGGAGCUCGCGCCGUAGAGGGAAGGGGGAGCGUUCCGGUGGCGCGGGUGCCUGGUUGUGAAGCUGCCUCGGCUAUUGUUGGUGCUGCCGCCGCCGCCGCUGCUGCUGCUGGACCUGCGCUGCACCUUGCGGUAGUACGUCUUCUGCGCAGGCCGCUGCCGCGGCCGGCGUAGGUGGUGGAGGGGAGGUCGGGGCGCGAGCAGCGGAGGGGCCGGUAGGGGUAGCGGCGCCGGCGCUCGGGCCCUCGGCAGGCAGCCGCGCCGCCUCGACUCGUUCGCCAGUCUCCUAAAGUAGUUCUUCUAGGUGUUGAGGAAGCCGGCCGUGGUUACUAGCGUGGGUGCGUGGAAGUUGGGUUUUUAGGGUAUGGUUAGGUUUAGGUUUCAAAAGAGCCAACACAUUUCUAGUAGUAUAGGGGAAUUUAAUCAAGAGGAAGAGGAAGAGGAAGGGAAGAACCACACGGGACACGGCCAGCGGCCUCGUCUCGUCUCCGCUCGAGCAGUCUUGGCGGUGUAAAUCCAUUGGUUGCUUUAGGUCUCGAGCUAGGGCUAGACGAAGGGGCAAAGUUACCGCUAAAACACUCAACGACGGCUCGGCUACUUUUAAGUUUUCAUUUUUUUCAACCAACGAACGAACUAACGAGCCUGACGAACAACCGGCCUCACUCAACAGCGAACGGCGAAACCGGGUUUUCUUACCAGCCGAGCACGAGACCGUCGGGCCAGGUGGAGAAAGGGAAAGCCGCGGUAAUCCUAGGUUGUGUGCUAGGCAACGAAUGGUGAAUUCAACCUAGGAAGAUGAAGAAGAAGAAGGAGAUAGGUAGGUUCUCUCUCUCUAUCUAUCUAUGAUGAUCGAUCUCAGUUUUUAACAACCACUUAAAGUAUUUCUCAAUACGGUACAAUCAACACUUUCAAUGUACACACACACACACACACAAACAUGUCACUGUACAUCAUACCGGUUCACCGUCGUAGGUGGGGGUUUAACUGUUCAAACAAAGGUACGAACAACCUUAAACGUCGGACACUUCCAAGACCUACCAGAACUACCUCCGACCACGACACCCUGAUCGUCACACCGACCGACCCCCACUAGGACUGGAGAAUUACACGACUUUACUACCAAACCCAACCACCGAACCACGUAUGGACCAACAAUUACUAAUUAUAAAACCCACCAAGAUAAGGGGAAACCACCGGACCUGGACGUAAACAAGAACCAACGAAAGGUAUGAUGUAUGUCGAGAACAUGACUAAUAGUCAAUAAUGAUGUUAUCACGAUUAAUACCACGAUUAUGAGGACAGUCACCCACACGCACGCGAACACUAAUGUUUGACAACCACGGGGUACCACACGG